UCCCACUCAUCGUGGGCAGUUUCUCCAGAGUGCUCCCUUGCGGGUAGCAACAGGAAAUGGGGGUUGCGCUCGUUGCGGGACUUAACCCAACAUCUCACGACACGAGCUGACGACAACCAUGCAGCACCUCGGCUGGUUCCUGACUUUACAGGUCGUUCCCGCUUUCACAGGACUUACUUCCAGUCGUUCGAGCCUAGGUAAGGUUUUUCGUGUUGCGUCGAAUUAAACCACAUACUCCACCGCUUGUGCGGGUCCCCGUCAAUUCCUUUGAGUUUUAGCCUUGCGGCCGUACUCCCCAGGCGGAGUGCUUAAUGCGUUAGCUUCGUUACUGAGAGUGUCAAACCCCCAACAACCAGUCGACAUCGUUUAGGGCGUGGACUAC
rnacentral:misc_RNA from 1 species